AAAAGUAUAGUGUGUCCUUGGAGGGAGGAAGGCAUAGCGAGACUUUAUGAGGCUCUUUGCUGUUCGUAUCCCACCAUUUCACUUUCCUAAUGAUCGGAGUAAUUUGUGUUAUCGAAUAAGUUUAUUUGUUAAACACUUUUAAGUUGAAA
ensembl:ncRNA C18H9.9 ncRNA